rnacentral:rRNA from 1 species
GCUUUACAGUGUAUUAAUUAAAUUUUAAAUUGUUAGUAUUAACUUAGUUUAUUUAGUAACUGUUUCGUUGGGGCGACGAAAAUAUAAUAAAUAGUAACUGUUUUUCUUUAUAAUAUAACAAAAAUUUUUGGAAGUAAUUGAUCCUUUCUUAAAGAUUAAAAGAUUAAGUU